rnacentral:rRNA from 2 species
GUGGGGAAUAUUGCACAAUGGGCGGAAGCCUGAUGCAGCGACGCCGCGUGGGGGAUGACGGCCUUCGGGUUGUAAACUCCUUUCACCAUCGACGAAGGUUUUCUGACGGUAGAUGGAGAAGAAGCACCGGCUAACUACGUGCCAGCAGCCGCGGUAAUACGUAGGGUGCGAGCGUUGUCCGGAAUUACUGGGCGUAAAGAGCUCGUAGGUGGUUUGUCGCGUCGUCUGUGAAAUUCCGGGGCUUAACUCCGGGCGUGCAGGCGAUACGGGCAUAACUUGAGUACUGUAGGGGAGACUGGAAUUCCUGGUGUAGCGGUGAAAUGCGCAGAUAUCAGGAGGAACACCGGUGGCGAAGGCGGGUCUCUGGGCAGUAACUGACGCUGAGGAGCGAAAGCAUGGGUAGCGAACAGGAUUAGAAACCCGAGUAGUCC